rnacentral:rRNA from 1 species
AUUGAACGCUGGCGGCAGGCUUAACACAUGCAAGUCGAGCGGGGUGAUGGUGCUUGCACUAUCACUUAGCGGCGGACGGGUGAGUAAUGCUUAGGAAUCUGCCUAUUAGUGGGGGACAACAUCUCGAAAGGGAUGCUAAUACCGCAUACGUCCUACGGGAGAAAGCAGGGGAUCACUUGUGACCUUGCGCUAAUAGAUGAGCCUAAGUCGGAUGAGCUAGUUGGUGGGGUAAAGGCCUACCAAGGCGAAGAUCUGUAGCGGGUCUGAGAGGAUGAGCCGCCACGCUGGGACUGAGACACGGCCCAGACGCCUACGGGAGGCAGCAGUGGGGAAUAUUUGACAAUGGGGGGAACCCUGAUCCAGCCAUGCCGCGUGUGUGAAGAAGGCCUUAUGGUUGUAAAGCACUUUAAGCGAGGAGGAGGCUCUUUUGGUUAAUACCCAAGAUGAGUGGACGUUACUCGCAGAAUAAGCACCGGCUAACUCUGUGCCAGCAGCCGCAGUAA